AUGGCCGAUGCUAGACUCGUUCGCUUGGUGUCUUGCGGAUCGCAAAUCCCCUCCACGUACACCUUCCCCCGUAGGCACCACCACACAACACCCAAGGUUGCGCUCCAGGCACACCUAGCAGCACGGCGGCGCACCGCCCAGCAACAGCUACAUCACAGCACGGGGAGCCACCGAGUGCUGCUCCAUGGCAUCACCAAGCUUGCCAAAAGCUUCAACGCAUCAUCGACGACGACCUGGCGAAGCUCUAUUGCAACUCCGGUGGCGCUCCAUUGCAACUCCGGUGGCACUCCAUUGCAGCCCCAUCAUGGCUUCAACGACUCCAACGGUGCUCUAGUGCAGCCCCAGCAGUGCUCCGUUGCAGACCCAUCACGGCUUCAAUGUCUCCGGUGGUGCUCCAUCGCAGCCCCACGACGCUUCGUUGCAGCUCUAUCACGGCUUCAACGACUCUGGCGGUGCUCCAUUGCAGCCCAGGGCCGGAUCCUUCGUGUCGCUUGUGCUGCACUGCAGCUCGGCCGCCAUGGCCAGAUCCACGGGGACACAGCCCCUGGCUUUGCAGUGCCGGUGGACGAGAUGAGAAGCAGCACCGGUGCCGCGGGGAUGAGAAGCAACGGUGGCCCCGGCUUUGCAGUGCCGGUGACUGGGAUGAGAAAAGCAGCGCCGGUGGCCAGUCCACAAGGAAUAAUGGCACCCACGCUCCUGCGACUCGCCGCUCCGGCGCCCGCAGCCACCGCCACCGUCGUCCUCCGCCCGCUACCCUCCGCUUCUCCGUCCGCUGGUGGCUCGGGUGGCUCGCUGCUGCUGCCACCGGGGUUCGAUUCGCCCCCGCCGCGCCUGGGUUGGGCUGGAUCCGGUCCAGAUCUGGGCUUGCCUGCUCGGCCAGCCGUGCCUGCCGCCUCCGUGUCCUUCGUGCCUGAGACGCUGCCUGCGUUCUGGUGCCAGGCCACUGAUGCGGCGCGGGGUGCGGCCCAGCUGGUGGCCUCCCGCCGCGCGGUGGCUGAGGCAUUCACUCCGCCCGCGAAUCCGGGCUGGGUGCCUUCAAGUCUCUCGCCGACCCGUGCUGAGGUUGGGCGGCGCGCCCCCUCUCCGCCGGGUCGCCUGGCCACGGACUGGCAGGUGGUCAGGCCGCUGUUUUGGUGGCGCUCCUCACCGGCCACCCCUCCCAUGCGUUCAAGGCGCCCGAUGAUUCGGUCGCAAGAUGCAUUCAAUCGCCAGCGACCUCCGCCGCGUGCAUUCAAGAGAAGGGGUGAUUUACUCUGCUUCAACUACCGGGGCACCGGCACUUCGCCUGGGAGUGCAGAGACCCGGUGCCCUGCAAUUACUGCGACCGGCAGGGCCACUUUGCUCGCGGGUGCUCGCUCCGGCUCCAGCAGCAGCCUCUUCGCCCCCGCCGCUCCCGGCCAACCACGGCGCCAUGCCAUGCCUGGGGACGCGGCCUCUCGUCCGAGCGAGGGGCACGUGGUGCUCCUCUCCACCCCGGCAAUGGAGCUGCAGGCGGCCCUUCUCGCCUCCAACGCGGCCCUGAUCUGGCUGGGGGGGAACCGGCUGCAGGUCAACACGGAGGAUAUUGCGCGCGCCAUCGAGGCAGAGACCAACAUCGCCAGGGGCUACUUCAACGUCGUCCCGUUCUUCCCGGAGGACUUCCUGGUCACCUUCCGGCACCCCCACCACCGCGACGAGCUCACCACCAGGGGCCGCUUCCCGCACCACAACCUCGACAUCCAUGCCACCAAGUGGCGUGCCAACGCCCACUCCAAAGUCGCCAAGAUGCACUACCACGUCCAUCUCUGCUUGGAGAAUGUCCCCCUGCACGCUUGGGGAGAGGAGGAGAUCGCCAAUAUCCUGGGCGAGAACACCAUCCUGCACUACUUCGACAUUGCUACUUUGCAGAAGGAGGAUGCCUCGAUGAUGAGCCUGUGGGCCUGGACUACCAAUUCGUCGGCCAUCCCCAAGGUGAUGUGGUCCACCAUCGUCGACAGGCCUAGCCAGCAGCCUAUCGGUAGCGCCACCCCUACUGGGCCGGGGCUGCAGGGGCUGGAGGACAGGGUGCUGAUCCACCUUGAGCUGAUCGAGGACUUCAGCCCAGACGCCGCCGGCAACAUCCCGAGGAACGCCCAGCGCCACCCCCUCGACUGGACCAAGGGCGUCAUCGACGGCGAGCGACAGACGAGGGAGAGCCACAGCUCCCCUGCUGCCCGAGGGCGGGGCCAGCGGCGUGAUGAUGAUCAUGAGGACCACGACGACCACCGCGGCAGACAGGGUGACCGCGGACUGUCCUGGGCGGGCAGGAUCUUCCGGAGUAGAUCCCGGGCGGAUGGCAACAGGCAUGAAGACAGAGGGCGGCGCGAUAAGCAGCGCCGCUGUGAUGAUCGCCGUGGAGAUCGGCGCGAUGGGCGUGACGGGAGGAGCAGGCAAAGCGGGUCGGAGUCGUCGCCGGCGCUCCUGGCCGGCUCGGGUGCUGCCAGCAACACCUUGGUGCGGGCGACUGAGGGCAUGCCGAUCGUGGAUGCUGCGGUGCCUCCGCCUGUGCAUGGACGUUCUCGCGUUCGUCACCCCUCGCCACUCUACGAAUGGAACCACUCCAACGACAACCUAACGCCACAGGCUUCUCCACCGCUAUCCCCUACGUCGGUGCUGCCGUCCUCAUCAAGUUCAAGGCGCGCUGAUGCCCGCUCUGCUGCCAGGGACGCGGCAGUGGCGGUCAGGGUGGAGGGGGCUAGUACGCUGGUGGCCGGUUUGUGCUCUCCUCUGCGGUUGUCUCUCCCAACACCACCGUUGCCGCGCGCUGCUGGGUUCUCACCAUCGCCAACCCCACCAAUCUUCCCUGGCUGGACCCCUCCUAGAACCCCGCUCGCUGGCGGGGUGGCUGCGGUGGCCGCGCCAAUGGAGGCCCUUUUCCGGGAGCGGGAACGGGCUCUACUUCCGACCCCUCAGUCCUCCCCGGUCAAGGCACCAACAAGGAGAGGCAAAACACUGGCCGGGGUUGUUAUCACAUCCCAGGGUGGGGGAUUCUCGCUUCGUCGUACCAGUGCCCGCGUUCAGGCGCGCAAGGUGGGCUUCGCCACCUCCAUGUCAAAGGAAGCGCAGGGGCUUGUCUGCCGCACUAUUGGCAUCAUCCGCAACGGCGAAGACGUCACCGCCCGGGCUCUCGACCAAUUUGAGCGUCAGUUCAAGGAGCAGCUGCCCGACAACGUCAUGACUGCUCUCCGUGGCCUGUUCAAGAUCGACGACACGCAUGCUGCUGUGGUGGAGGAGGCCCUCAUUGGUCAUGGGGGCGCAGCAGCGCUGGACCAUGAGGAGGAGGAGACCAAACUUGAUGUGUUGGACCAGUUUACGGCUUCCUUCCUGGGAGGGGCCAGGCUCAAAAGCUUUGCCCACCGAUCGGCACUGGUCACUAGGGGAGGCAUCCUACUGCUUUGGGAUGACGACGUUGUGGUUGUGUCUGAUAUUGUGCUCUCAGUGUACUGCCUAUCCGCCACAGUCCUCAUCCGCGAGUCUGGGGUCUCCUUCAAGAUCACGGUGGUCUAUGGCCCUACUGCUUCCUCUUGCAAAAAUGCCUUCUUUGCGGAGCUCCUGGAUCAAAAGCCACCUCCAGGGACCAAAUGGCUUACUCUGGGCGACUUCAACCAAAUACAACACGCGCGCGACAAGAAUAAGCGGAACAUCAACCAUGGCCGCAUCAACCGGUUCCGUAACACCCUCCACGCGUGCGAUCUCAGCGAGAUACACCUGCAAAAUCACCACUGCCCUCUCCUUCUCGCGGAUGAUAGUGGACCAAGGAGACCGCGUUGCUUCAAGUUUGAGAAUUUUUGGAGGUCCAUGCCGGGCUUCCAGGAAGUGGUGGACAAGGCUUGGAGCGAGGUUUGCCCUCAUGUGGAGCCGUACCUGCGACUCUUCCACAAGAUGAAAAAAGUUAGUGUCAGGCUAGCGGAGUGGAGUCGAAAUCUUUUCUCGAAGGCGAAGCUUCACUUGCAUGCGGCCCUCUUGGUGAUACUCCGCCUUGACGUCGCCCAAGAAGACCGGGAGCUCUUGCCUGGGGAGAAACACUUGAGGGCAAAGCUAAAGAGAAGGGUGCGGAGGGGCUUUCCUCCGCGCUUUAGGGAGUGGAUCACGGCCUUGCUCCGUUCAUCUUCCUCGCGAAUCCUCCUCAACGGGGUCCCAGGACCUAUUAUCAGGCAUGGCCGCGGCUUUCGGCAGGGAGAUCCGAUCUCUCCCCUGCUCUUUGUCAUUGCUAUCGACCCUUUGCAGCAAAUGCUCGACCUCGCGACCCGUCGUGGACUUUUACACAAGCUUCGAGGGCGUCGUGCCAUUCUCCGCACUUCCCUAUUUGCCGACGACGCGACGGUCUUCAUGGCUCCUAUUAAGGAGGAUAUCGACAACUUCGCUCAGAUCCUAAACUACUUUGGCAAGGUCACGGGCCUCUGCACAAACUUCCAGAAAAGCUCGGUCGUCCCAAUUCGAUGUAGAGACAUCAACCUCGACAACAUCCUAGCAGCCUUGCCGGCCUCCCGUGCAGCUUUCCCCAUCAAGUACUUGGGGCUACCUUUAUCGGUUCGGCAGCUGAGGCGAGGCGACUUCCAAUUCCUUGAGGACAAAUGGCGUGUCGCGUUGAGGAAGGUCUGCAAGUCGAUUUUUUUGGUUGGCGUCCACGAGGAGCGGAGGGGAGCGGCCGUCGUCGCACUCGAGCUCGAAGCGCAAGCCGUUGGCGCCGGCUUCAACACGGUAGCAGCCCGCGCCGAUGCCGAAGGGGUAGGGGAUGGUAAUGUUGCCGCACCUGUCGCGGCAUCCCGGCAGCGCCACGCGCUGAGCCGCCGCCACAAGCAAAUGCAGCACGAUCAGGAGAAGCAUUGGCUGGUCUUCAAGGAUUGGCCCAAGUUGUCAAGUGGGCCCAUUUUAAUGCUAAACCGGCUGACGGGUCGGCCGCGCGUCGCGCCGGUCGCGUGCGCAGCGUCUGAUACGCAUCCACUGGCUCCUAUUGCAUCCACGACGCACAUGUUGGUGGGCCCCGACGGCCUCUUGUCUCUCAUUCUUUUUCUCAUGUCUUUCGCUGCAAUUGCCAUGAACGGCUCGUCCGAGCUCCCGUCCCUUCCCCUCUCUCUAUUUUUUCAGACCUUUCCUGAUAGGCCUUGCUGGAUUGUAUUGAGCCCGGUGUUCUUGUCACAGAGACGCAGAACACGCAGCGGCACCCGCGCCGGAGCGCGCGGAAACUGCCUGUGGAGGUCCUCCAAGUCCUCACUUCCGGGCCAGUCUUUGCGUCGCGCCGGCUUACACCAAGACUGCGUGGGGUUAAAAUGA
rnacentral:rRNA from 1 species